rnacentral:rRNA from 1 species
GUGCCAGCCGCCGCGGUAACACCGGCGGCCCGAGUGGUGAUCGCUAUUAUUGGGUCUAAAGGGUCCGUAGCCGGUUUGAUCAGUCCAUUGGGAAAUCUGGUGGCUUAACCGUCAGAAUUCCAAUGGAUACUGUCAGACUUGGGACCGGGAGAGGUAAGAGGUACUACAGGGGUAGGAGUGAAAUCUUGUAAUCCCUGUAGGACCACCAGUUGCGAAGGCGUCUUACCAGAACGGGUCCGACGGUGAGGGACGAAAGCGGGGGGCACGAACCGGAUUAGAUACCCGGGUAGUCC